AGUUGUUUCUACCAUUGUCUGAUGGGCCUUUGGCCUAUGAAAAAGAAAAAUUUGAACAAAACUUUCAACAACGGAUCUCUUGGUUCUCGCAUCGAUGA
rnacentral:rRNA from 1 species